AGCACCAAGGUUACUAAUACCAUCUUUAACUCUAGUUCCAUGAAACCCGAUGUCCUCUUCUGACCUCUAUGAUACUGCAUGCUCAUGGUGCACAUACACACAGGCAGAAAACACCCAUACCCAUAAAAUAAAAUGAAUAAACAUCUUUAUCCAAAGAAGUUCCACAAAUAUGUAGGAAAAUGACUGUAUGUGAUAUGAGGAUUGUUGUUUAAUAUCUGUGAUCCAAAUAUGUCUAAACAUGUUAUCAAUUUAUUAUGUAUCAUGUUUUCUAUGUAAGCUUUGCAGUUGUACUCUUUAGUUAGAGUGAAAUGAUACAAAAAUGAGGAACAGGUAUCCAGACAGUGAUAAACCUAGGAAAUGAAAUAUUGAAAUUUUGAAUACUUCUUACCUUUCAGAAUAUCUUUAUUCAUUAAGUUGUAUUUGGAAUAAAACCACGACACGUUUAAUUUUUAUUGUGUUUCAGGAAAAACAAGUAGUUCAUUACGUUCUCUGGAUUCUAGAUUCAAUUGCAAGUAGAAUUUGUAUGAAAUUGUUACUGAUAACAUGACUUUAAAUUUGGCAUUUUUUGAUAAUGAUAUAUAUCUAAUAGAUAAAUAGCAAUAAUCUUCUCUUUUAUAGAUUUGUUUUUGCCUAAGUGUAACAAAGUAUUCAUAUAUGAAUUGAUGCUAAUUGUUAAUUGUCACCAAUAAAAAUUUUAUAUCCUGUUUUCCUC
rnacentral:lncRNA from 1 species